rnacentral:lncRNA from 1 species
UGUCCCGUUAUUGAUGGCACGUUUCCUUUUUUAGAAAAAAUAAGGGAGUGUUUAAAUGUUAAUCAAAUCCCUAAUUAAAAGCCUAAUAAAUUAAACACGCAAUGUCCCUCUCUCCCCCUCUCUCUCUCUCUCCCACUUCGGUCUCUCCCUCUCGCCGCCUCCACCCUCCCGCCGCCUCCACCCUCCAGCCUCGCCUCCGGCCUCCGCGCUCCCAGCCUCGCCGUCGCCGCUACCUUAGCCCCUCUCCGGUGACCUCCGUCCUCUCCCUCGCCCGUCUCCACCUCGCCAGAACACGUCCUGGGCAACAGAUUCCUGCUCGCUCUCCUCACGCUCUCUGCAUUUCUCCUGACGCUCGACGCCGCCCGGGCUGACGGAACCCCCGCCAACCCGGAUCCGUCGGCUCUGCUCCAGAAUCCGGAGGCGGAGAUGACAAUAGCGGAUCCUCCGCUGGCGGAGAGAGAGACGGAGUCGGAGGCGGAGGCGCCGGCGGAGUGGGAGAGCAGGAAGAUCGGGAAGCACCACUCGUCGGACAAGUCGGAGACGUCCUCUCCCUCGCCCGUCUCCACCUCGCCAGAAAUUAGGGCUCGUCGGAAGAAGAGACGAAGGUGAGGGCAGAUCUGUUGUGUCGUCGGUGCUGAGGAAGACGAGGCGAAGGCGAGGGCGCGGCGACGCGGCUCUUUCCUCUCCAGAUCUCGCCGAUGCAGCGGCCGCCUCCCGCCGCAGAGGAAUGCAACCACGAUUUUAGGCCUAGGGUUUUAAUU